rnacentral:rRNA from 1 species
UGGCGGACGGGUGAGUAAUGUCUGGGAAACUGCCUGAUGGAGGGGGAUAACUACUGGAAACGGUAGCUAAUACCGCAUAACGUCGCAAGACCAAAGAGGGGGACCUUCGGGCCUCUUGCCAUCGGAUGUGCCCAGAUGGGAUUAGCUAGUAGGUGAGGUAACGGCUCACCUAGGCGACGAUCCCUAGCUGGUCUGAGAGGAUGACCAGCCACACUGGAACUGAGACACGGUCCAGACUCCUACGGGAGGCAGCAUG